CAGCCCUAAACGAUGCGCGUUAGGUGUAUCGGUGACCACGAGUCACCGAGGUGCCGAAGGGAAACCGUGAAACGUGCCGCCUGGGAAGUACGGUCGCAAGGCUGAAACUUAAAGGAAAUUGGCGGGGGAGCACCACAACGGGUGGAGCCUGCGGUUUAAAUUGGACUCAACGCCGGGAAGCUCACCGGAUAAGACAGCGGAAUGAUUGCCGGGCUGAAGACCCUGCAUGACCAGCUGAGAGGAGGUGCAUGGCGUAGUCGUGU
rnacentral:rRNA from 1 species